rnacentral:lncRNA from 1 species
GAUGGAUCGAGCUGUGCGAUCAGAGGCAUCGGGACGGUCAGCUGGAGGAUACAUGAUGGUGCAGUAAGGAGAUUGGGGGAGGUCCGAUACAUAUCCGAUUUUAGAUAGAGUCUUACUCACUUAACAGACUGGAUUCGAGAGGCUACAGGAUGGUAGCUGGUGGAAGAAUCCUGAUGGUGCUACGCGGCGAUAGGAUUGUGCUGGAGGGG